rnacentral:rRNA from 1 species
AUUGAACGCUGGCGGCAGGCUUAACACAUGCAAGUCGAGCGGGGGAAGGUAGCUUGCUACUGGACCUAGCGGCGGACGGGUGAGUAAUGCUUAGGAAUCUGCCUAUUAGUGGGGGACAACAUCUCGAAAGGGAUGCUAAUACCGCAUACGUCCUACGGGAGAAAGCAGGGGAUCUUCGGACCUUGCGCUAAUAGAUGAGCCUAAGUCGGAUUAGCUAGUUGGUGGGGUAAAGGCCUACCAAGGCGACGAUCUGUAGCGGGUCUGAGAGGAUGAUCGGCCAGACUGGGACUGAGACACGGCCCAGACUCCUACGGGAGGCAGCAGUGGGGAAUAUUGGACAAUGGGGGGAACCCUGAUCCAGCCAUGCCGCGUGUGUGAAGAAGGCCUUAUGGUUGUAAAGCACUUUAAGCGAGGAGGAGGCUACUCUAGUUAAUACCUAGGGAUAGUGGACGUUACUCGCAGAAUAAGCACCGGCUAACUCUGUGCCAGCCGCCGCGGUAA